rnacentral:rRNA from 1 species
CCUACGGGAGGCAGCAGUGAGGAAUAUUGGUCAAUGGGAGAGAUCCUGAACCAGCAAAGCCGCGUGAGGGAAGACGGCCCUAUGGGUUGUAAACCUCUUUUGUCGGAGAACAAAACCCGGGACGUGUCCCGGACUGCGCGUAUCCGAAGAAAAAGCAUCGGCUAACUCCGUGCCAGCGGCCGCGGGAAUAGGGAGGGUGCGAGCGUUCUCCGGAUUGAUGGGGUUUAAUGGGUGCGUGGGCGGUCCGUUAAGUCAGCGGGAAAAGUGCGUGGGUAAACCCCGUCUAGCCGUUGAAACUGGCAGACUUGAGUUGGCGAGAGGUACGCGGAAUGCGCGGUGUAGCGGUGAAAUGCAUAGAUAUCGCGCAGAACUCCGAUUGCGAAGGCAGCGUACCGGCGCCAGACUGACGCUGAGGCACGAAAGCGUGGGGAUCGAACAGGAUUAGAUACCCCGGUAGUC